CUGCCAGAGGAGGGUUGGGAAGAAGACACUGCCUGAGUUACUCACGCUGUAACAUGAAACUUUGUUUUCCAAUUCAGAGUUAAUUCAGGAAGCAACAGAAAAGCAUGCUAUUAUCUUUUUAAGUACAUUCAAGAGAAGCCCUGCACACAAGGGUAUGUGUUCAUAUUCCUCAUGCUGGUAUAUAUGCUAUCCGCAAAACUUCAUGUCAACCAGGUAAGGCAAACACAAGACAAUCUAAAUAACAAGCAAGCAGAGAGUAACAGCAACAAAGAAGGCCUAAGUGAAAAUUAGAACAUCAGAGAUGGUCCACUUCUGGGCAACUCAGAUACCGGCUAAGAGCUCUGGAUGCCCAAAUGCUAAAGUGGGGUUGGGUACUACAAGGGGAAAAUAAGAUCCAUAACAGGAAUGUUACAGGUGGAGGUAUCAAAGGUAUUCUUAAGCUGCUUCAUAUUUAAUCAAGGGCAAACCCUGCUCCAAGACA
rnacentral:lncRNA from 1 species